UUAUUUUUGUGACAAAAAUAAAAACUUUAAAUUGAAACUUAAGCUAUAAGUUAAAAGUGUUCUCUGUGGACAUGUUUGUUUCACCGAAACUGAACUUUGAGCUGAAGUGAACUUUGGAUUGAAAUAGAGUUCGGUGAAAAUUAUUUCUUUCCCAUUGUUUCUUUCGUAGUUAUAGAAGUAAAGUUUCAUUAAUUAUGCUGUUUGUUUGGUAGAACUUAUAUGAUAUAAAUCUAUAAUUUAUAUAUGAAUAAUAAAUAAUUUAAUAAAUAAAAAUAAUAUAAUUAUAUUUUAUAUAAUUAAAAUUUAAUUUAAAACAACUAGAUUAAUUUUUUUAUACAUAAAUUAUAGUAAUACAACAAUAAAAUUAUAAAGUAAAAAAAUAUUAAUACCUAAUUAAUCAAUUUUUAUCAUAUUUUAAUUGUACCAACUAAAUAAAGAAAAUAUUAAAACUUAACUAAUCAAUUUUUAUCAUAUUUUAAAAAAAUAAACUGAAUAAAAGAAUAAUUAGUACCAUAAUUAAAUAUAUUUAAAUAUAAUUAUCUUUACCUAGCAUAUUAUUUAUUAUUUUUUCUUCCCCUUCCUUCAGCGUAAUUAACUUCAGCUCAUAAUGGGUCGAAGUCAAUUACGCCAUUUCAAGUUACCUCGAGUUUCGAACGUAACUUUUCUAUGGCGAACCAAACAACAGAAAUAAUCGUUUAUGACGAAAACGACUUUCCCUCUCAACUUCCACCCAACUUCCACCCAAACAAAC
rnacentral:lncRNA from 1 species